rnacentral:rRNA from 1 species
UACGGAGGGUGCGAGCGUUAAUCGGAAUUACUGGGCGUAAAGCGCGCGUAGGCGGCAAUUCAAGUCAGUUGUGAAAUCUCCGAGCUUAACUCGGAACGGUCAACUGAUACUGCUUUGCUAGAGUACAGAAGGGGCAAUCGGAAUUCUUGGUGUAGCGGUGAAAUGCGUAGAUAUCAAGAGGAACACCUGAGGCGAAGGCGGGUUGCUGGGCUGACACUGACGCUGAGGCGCGAAAGCUAGGGGAGCAAACAGG